CAUUUCCUUCUCCAAAAUCACUUUGAUGAACUUUUAAUCCUGUUGUUCACUCUACUGCUCUGUCCAAACCUCCAUUAUCAUUCAGUCCCGAUUUGGUCUUCCCCAACCUCCAUUUCUCUUCAAUCACACUUUGCCCUUUUCCAACCUCCAUUACCCUUCAAUCACGCUUUUCUCUUCCUCUACCUCCAUUGUGCAUCACUCCCCAACCUCCAUUUCUUUUAGUCCUACUACGUGACAUCAAGGUGUUUGGUGCUAUUGUCGAGGUCUACGAAGGUUGCCAUUGUCGGUGGAAGUUAUCGAGAGGUCCUGCCACAGAUCAAGAGGGAGACAGUUAAGGUGUUUGAAGACAAAAGUAGAUUUUGGGAUGGAAUUGGUUGGUGUGCAACAAUUAUUGUUUUUGUGACAGUGUUAAGAAAACAGUGUGAUCAAAGAGCUUUAGCAAAUAAACUAGGAGUGUAGAAAAAGGUAUUUUUUGAAUUAGGAGGCAAAAUCUGCUUCAUGAUCCUCCCAAUUUUGGCUAUUGUCAACAAAUGGUCUUGUUCCUUAAUGCCACUAUUUUUAGGAUUGGAGGAACUGCCUCCAACAUUGUCCACCAUCUUUGGAAGGGGGUAAGGAAGGAGUAGAAGAACUACCUCCAACAUUGUCCUCUGUUUUCAGAUUAGAGGAACUACCUAGCCAGCUGCAUGUUGCAACUAUUAUUGAACUUAUUGCAAAUAUAUAUGUACUCUUUGUUAUGCCCUUCCCCUGCCAUAUUAUGCCCCAUAUAUAGUUAUAUAUACAUUUCAAAUGGAAUUAUUUUGGUUAACUCGGCACUAGUCAAUAAAGUUUCUUUUCCAGCAA